rnacentral:misc_RNA from 1 species
GAAAUGCGAUACGUAAUGUGAAUUGCAGAAUUCAGUGAAUCAUCGAGUCUUUGAACGCACAUUGCGCCCCCUGGUAUUCCGGGGGGCAUGCCUGUCCGAGCGUCAUUGCUGCCCUCAAGCACGGCUUGUGUGUUGGGCCCCCGUCCCCCCCCCAAGGGGACGGGCCCGAAAGGCAGCGGCGGCACCGUGUCCGGUCCUCGAGCGUAUGGGAAGCAACUUUUUGUCACCCGCUCCUGUAGGUCCGGCCGGCGGCCUGCCCAACCCCAACCUUUUUUUCAACCAGGUUGACCUCGGAUCAGCUAGGGAUACCCGCUGAACUUAAGC